rnacentral:rRNA from 1 species
ACUCCUACGGGAGGCAGCAGUAGGGAAUUUUCCGCAAUGGACGAAAGUCUGACGGAGCAAUGCCGCGUGAGUGAUGAAGGUUUUCGAAUCGUAAAGCUCUGUUGUAAGGGAAGAAUAGCAAGAAUAGGAAAUGAUUCUUGUCUGACGGUACCUUACCAGAAAGCCACGGCUAACUACGUGCCAGCAGCCGCGGUAAUACGUAGGGUGCAAGCGUUGUCCGGAAUUAUUGGGCGUAAAGAGCUCGUAGGCGGUUUGUCGCGUCUGCUGUGAAAACCUGGGGCUUAACCCUGGGCCUGCAGUGGGUACGGGCAGACUAGAGUGCAGUAGGGGAGACUGGAAUUCCUGGUGUAGCGGUGGAAUGCGCAGAUAUCAGGAGGAACACCGGUGGCGAAGGCGGGUCUCUGGGCUGUAACUGACGCUGAGGAGCGAAAGCAUGGGGAGCGAACAGGAUUAGAUACCCUGGUAGUGUACUGU